rnacentral:rRNA from 1 species
CCUGAAAAUGGAUGGCGCUGAAGCGGGUGGCCGACACCACGCCGUCUGGUAAAGAAUUAUGAUCAGAUGAGUAGGAGGGCGUGGCGGUUGUAUCGAAGGGUAUGUGCAGACAUGUCUGGAACGGCCGCUAGUGCAGAUCUUGGUGGUAGUAGCAAGUAUUCAAGCGAGAUCCUUGAAGGGCGAAGCGGGGAAGGGUUCCACGCGAACAUUGAUUGGGCGUGGGUGAGUCGUUCCUAAGCCGAGUGGCGAUUGCUAAGUAGCGGCGAAAGGGAAGCUGGUUGACAUUCCAGCACACGGAUGUGGAGGCGGUGACGCGUAUUGGGACGAACACGCUGGCGGUGGCGCUGGGCAGAGUUGUCUUUUCUGUUUGACUUUGCGCACGCGGUGUGGAAUCCGCUUGUCGGGAGAAACACGCGUGUCGAGGCAGAGCGCCGGGGCUUUUCCGGCGUCCAGCUCGCCACCGACGGCCCUUGAAACUUUGUCUGCUUAAAUCCACGCCGUGGCGUACCGAUCACCGCAUCAGGUCCCCAAGGUGAACAGCCUCUGCUCUAUAUGAACAAUGCAGGUAAGGGAAGUCGGCAAAUUAGACCCGUAACUUUGGGAUAAGGGUUGGCUCUAGUGCUGCGUGGGAGUGGUUGCCCAUGGUCGGGGGAAUUGGUGAGGCUGGCUUGGCGCGGUGCCGGCUGCCGAGCCGGCUCUUCUGCUUUGGGCGACGCCC